rnacentral:rRNA from 1 species
CCUUGUACACACCGCCCGUCACACCAUGGGAGUUGGCUUUACCCGAAGACCGUGUGCUAACCGCAAGGAGGCAGCGGGCCACGGUAGGGUCAGCGACUGGGGUG